GCCCACCAGAUAGCUCAGUCAGCAGAGCAUGAGGUUCGUAAGCUCAGGGUUGUGGGUUCGAGUCCCACUUGGGGCA